rnacentral:tRNA from 1 species
GGGGUUGUGGCUCAGUGGUAGAGCGCUCGCCCAGCGCAGUCAGGACCUGGGUUCGAUUCCCAGCACCA